GGGGGCCUCCCUUCUCCUUCUUCUUCUUCCUCUUCUCCUCCUCCUCCUCCUCCCCCUCCUUGUCCUCUGACUGCUCCUCGCUGCCUCCCUCUUCCUCCUCCUCAUCCUCUUCCUCGCUGCUGGAGCUGGAGGUGCCGGAGCUGCUGCUGCUGCCACUCUCCUCACUGUCGGACUCGGGUUCGCUGUCUGCUGAUUCCGUGGGCCCCGACUCCCCCUCUGAGUCAGAGUAGAAAG
rnacentral:lncRNA from 1 species